rnacentral:siRNA from 1 species
UCAUUUCCCGUAGGUUGAUCUU